rnacentral:lncRNA from 1 species
CACAAGUUGAGUCACCAUAAACAUAACCCACACAGGCCUGCUCCACUGCUGAGUACGGAAUCCCAGCAUCAGCUAAAGCCUUCUGGCCAGCCUCUUUAGCCAGGUCAGGAUAAUCAACACUGUUCUCACUGGGCUUUGCAAACUUGGUCAUGCCGACGCCCACCACGAACACCCGGCGCUGCAUGAUGGCGGCGGGACCCCCUCUUUCC